AUUCAUAAUAUUUAACAGGGUUGUACAUUUCAGCACAGAUGCAAAUACACCAUAUUUUAACAUUAAAUCACAUUCAUAAUAUUUAAUACAUGUUCAGUAUACAAUGCAUAUAUACAAACAAUUGACUCUUCUAUUCAUCACAAAAUGUCAUCCAUGCGUACAUUCAUUCAACAUACAUAAAGAUUCAUUUAUUUUCUUCGCUCAACAUACAAGAUAAGUUGUUACAAAAUGUGAUGGCUAAGAUCCUAACAGACCAAUUGUUUGAUCACUUGACUACUACUAAAUAUUAUGGAAGAGACCAAGUCUUUGAUCACCAAGCCAACAUCAAGUUCUGUAUGAACAAAAGGUGUCAACCAUGUUAUGAACAAAAGCGAUCAUGGAACAUCUUAGAUCAACUUGUGGACUUGUUAUUUCCUGCCAUUUGUCCCUGCAAAAGAACUUAUUGCCUUGUUGGAUUAAAGCACCAAAUGCUCAUAAAAGGAAAAACCUUUACACACACUAGAGAGUAAUAAAUCAAUCAGGGCAUGUCACCUUUGAAGAAACCAAUGGAGAGCUCUCCAGGUAUAGUAACAGCAUGAAAGGUAACUAAUGUCUAAAGCAAUAAGGUACAUGCUUGGUCAAGCUUGAUGUAAAGUAUCCAGUAGUUUGUGCAUAAGGCAAAACAAAUAUGGAUGUAAGCUGGCACAUAUAUCGGCAUAAAACAUUAACAUGACAAAUUAGUUUGUGAUCUAAAUAAGUAGCGUAGGAUCCGAAAUAUAUACCAUGAUAUGUUAGCAAUGCAAAUAAUACAGUUCUCAGAAUUACAAUCAGCCAACAAUUUAAGUAUGGUAAUAAUACAAUGGCGGCCCUACUUUGGACGGUUAAAUAUGUAAAUAGCAAGCAAACAUAAAAGGAAUAGGGAAAGUAUCAAUGCAUUGUUUCUUUUGCAAUAUCAUGUCCCAAUAGAGAUACUAAUUUUUGGACAGCAAGUUUGAGGUGGUCGAUGCUCUCAAACUACCCAGUAAAAAAAUACUCUCUGGAAAGCUUCAGAAGUACACUACAACUUCUAUCUGGAGACUAACUCAAAAUUCAGCGUGUAUGAAACCGAUAUUUAACCCAAAUCUUACUACACCAUAACUAUUACGAGGUGAUUUAACUGCCAUAUGAAAUUGCAAUCAACACUGGAGAUGAACAUCUCCUAGCAAGCAGCAAAAUUGACAUACCAACGGAUACAAACAGAUGUUGCAUCCUAAUCUACCCACUAUGGCCAUAAUGUUGUAGUGGCUAAACAUACUAGUACUUGUGUACAUACUUCUGUUCUUAGUGUAACUAGAGAAUAUAGUAGGAUUUACACAAAGAGGAUGUGGUCUGGUUGAAACAACUUUUAAACUGCCAGAAUAUCUUAUUUAGUUAACUAGAAAAUUUUCAAGUUGUUAACCUUAGCAUGUUUUCCUAUCAGCAAGUUCAGUAGCUCAACUGAACAAUUAUGUUCCAACUGAGAAUAUUUGCAUAUAUAGUAGCUCCCUUUGUACCACUUAACAUAUAAGGUGUAUUAGAUUAGAAACAAAUUACCUUAUCUUUAUGGCUAGAUCUUUAUGUAGCCACAUUGGAAAAUAAAGUUCAUCUUUUUCCUCUGGUGACUACACCGGGUAGUUUUGCUAGCAUUAGUUCCAUACUUCUAUGAUAGUUGUUCCAGAAGUGCACAAUGAUACUUUACUAGCCUGAAAAGAAACAACACUUAAUUCACUCACAUAGUACUGAACGCAGAAUCUAAUUGGCAGCAAGCAUUCAACAUCAAUAUCAAAGUACCAUGUAGACUAUUAACAUAAGCUGAAUUUAGCUGCUAUAGGUUCCGCAUACUAACAAUCAAUUAAGUCGUACAAACUUCACAUGUGGCUCUUUUGGUUAGUACACUUUGCUGCAAAAGGUGUGGUUGCUUUGAGAAGUAACAGAGGGGCCUUAACACUACCAACCAUGAAAUAAACAUUUCGUCUAGAAAUAAUGAAUGAAGACUUCUUGUUUUUUUCUAUUACUGAUCUAAUUGUUGAUAGAAAUACUGUAUGCUAAUAUAAUUACGCAACCAUAUGAUUCAGGUGCUUAUAAUGCAUAAUGCAAUUAAUUAAAUGCAUGUUACUUUUCAGUACGUAAUUGAACCAAAAUUCCUAGUAUAUCCCUAGAGAGAACCACUCAUUUUAGUCUAGUGGCCUGCACUUCCUUGGGAUUGGAUCCAAUUCAUGAUAUGUGGCACAUUUUGUGUUUUUGGUAGGAAAGCAGAAGAGAGGGCAUUGUUCUUCUAAAUGGAGGAAAGUAGUGACGCCUCACCCUUGCAAGUCUUGGCAUGGCCAACCAAUCUGUGUAGUGUUCCAUCCAUCUUAGGUGAAUUCUUUUUGAGCAAAAUACAGAGUAUAAUUUUCUAUUUGAACAAUAUACGGAGUACACUACAGGCUACAGUCUGAACAUGGAUGAGUACUGAACUAGCAAAUGUGAUGUUCGCACUGAUGGUUUAUGCAAAACCAUACAAGUGAAGGUGGUGGGAUCACAUGCAAAACAGAGAUAGAAACAAUACAUACCUCAAGCAUUACCACUCAGCAUGGUUGGGGAUCCUUGCAGCCUGCGAAUGGAAAUAGGAACAUUGAGACACAAUCAUUUCAAAGGUAGUAGUAAUUAGUAAAUACUAAAACCCUGAAACUGAAUAUUGGAUAUAUAUGUGAUAAGAGAAGGGAGAGGCCUGGGAGGUUGAGCUCAGCUACAAGCAUACAGUCCACGAGCUUCAGAACAUCCGCAACAAUAGUCAAACCUCAUUAAAAGUUGAAAUCAGUUGCAAAGUUCUACUUAUGAGAAGAAAGCUAGCCUGAACUAAAAACAGUAGCAUGUUUCUAGACAGGCACGACACCCAUGGAAGAGCAAGUGAAAUAUAAUGCAUCUUGUUGAAUCCACAAAACACCCAGGCCAAGGUCAGGCGCACAAAUCUACUAAUCGUCAUGCAGUCUUAUAGUAACCAUUCUCUCGAACAACACGUGUUGUAGAACACAUCCCAAAUCAACAGCAACAAAAACAACAUUAAAAUAACUUGACGGUGCUAAUCGAGAACAAAGAGUUGCAAUAUAGCUAUGUGAAUAAACAAUGUAGAUGGGACUAGAAGAAUUACAUAAACAUAUAAUAACAUAGCACAUAACACUGGUUAGUAAAAUAUAUAUACUUCAGUCUGUCCAGAAAUCAACUAAAUACUUAAUUUACCCUAAUUAUAACAUGAGAGAUGGAUGGUUAGCACUAUGAAAUCUCCAAUCUCAAACGAACUAACAUGAUCUUGUUUAGUUCAUCGUUGAGCCAACAAGAUUUAAUGGGCAAUCACAUUCACGGGGAAACAAGAAAUAACAUAUGAAAUGGAAAAGAAAAAAGGGAUCUAUUUUCAUGCUUACCUACAGGGGCUGGAUUUGGGGGCGAAGCAAGACAAAGGGAAGGAGAACUUCUUGAUGUAGAGGGCUAGGUGGCUCCUUGGUUGCAGACAGCAUCACCCUGCGUUGGAUCGAAGCUUCAGGUGGCACUACUGGUAGUCAGAGAAGCAGAGGAGUGACCAUAUCGGCCUGAAUCUUACCUACAGCGCCCUGGAUCUUGAGGAAGUACGGCGGGGUUGUUCGGCGAUGGUCGACUCCACGCUGGCGGUUGGCAACGCGGAUCCUUGGUGGCGGUCGACUCGACUCCUUGGCUGCGGGCAGUGGAGGGGCUCCUUUGCUGCGGACGAUGAGGCAUAACCUUGGGAUUGGACCGUGGGGAAGCACCACAUGGUAGAAGGAGGCUUCGGGAGGUGCCGCCGUUGAUGGGACAGGAGGCGGCACGAGCAAAUCGACAGGCAGGUCAGGGGACGGCGGCGGCGGCAGGCGACCUAGGUUUAGGUUGAUGUGUGGCGUGGGAAAGAGAUAAGAUGGGGUGGGGGAAAGAGGGGUCUGGGAGGCUUAGCCAAAAUUUUAGUCUUUG
rnacentral:lncRNA from 1 species